CUAGUGACAGAGAGAGGGAGGGUGUGACUAGUGACAAUGAGGGAGGGUGUGACUAUUGACCCACUCCCUCUGUCACUAGUCACACCCUCCCUCUCUCUGU